CAUCGAGAUUAACAAUGCGACGCCUUUGCCUGCCAUAGAGGAGUCCCAGACACAGGAGAGUCCUUCCGCCAACUCGAACGCAGAGGCUGAAAAUAAUAAAGCCGAUGAGCCACCCAAAUACUUUGUCACCUACUGCUCGAAAUUACCGGGAAAUGGCUUUAAGCUCUUCGAUGCUGCUGAAAGAAGCCCAAAAAGAAUCUGGGCGAAGGUGACUGAAAACGAGAAGGAAGACAACGAGCCCAGAUCCAAGCUGCGAUUGCCCGUGGAGGAUAAUGAUGAAUCCGAAGAUUAAAUUUGCCUCCCAGAACAAAAGAAAAUCCAAACAAUAUGAUCUAUAAAUUAAAUUUCAAUGCUAUCUGUGGAUGUGGACGUCACACCCAGUGCGAGAACCAACAGCAAAGAGCAAAUAUCGUCCUGCUUGAAGCACAACGAAGAGAAUCCAUUGACAUAUUUCAAGACUUUUCCAAUUUUGUACACAUAAAACUGAUUUGGAUCCCGCAGCACUUUUGGGCAUUUAAUACCCCAGCAAAACAAAAAACAGAACAGAACAGUCACCGGUUUGACUGUCAAAUUAAACCGAAG